rnacentral:rRNA from 1 species
UGAACGCUGGCGGCAUGCCUUACACAUGCAAGUCGAACGGUAACGCGGGGCAACCUGGCGACGAGUGGCGAACGGGUGAGUAAAGCAUCGGAACGUGCCCAGUAGUGGGGGAUAGCCCGGCGAAAGCCGGAUUAAUACCGCAUACGACCUACGGGUGAAAGGGGGGAUCGCAAGACCUCUCGCUAUUGGAGCGGCCGAUGUCAGAUUAGGUAGUUGGUGGGGUAAAGGCCUACCAAGCCUGCGAUCUGUAGCUGGUCUGAGAGGACGACCAGCCACACUGGGACUGAGACACGGCCCAGACUCCUACGGGAGGCAGCAGUGGGGAAUUUUGGACAAUGGGCGCAAGCCUGAUCCAGCCAUGCCGCGUGCGGGAAGAAGG